UACGGAGGGUGCAAGCGUUGUCCGGAAUUAUUGGGCGUAAAGCGCACGUAGGUGGCUUGUCACGUCGGGUGUGAAAGCUUGGGGCUUAACUCCAGGUCUGCAUUCGAUACGGGCUGGCUAGAGGUAGGUAGGGGAGAACGGAAUUCCUGGUGUAGCGGUGAAAUGCGCAGAUAUCAGGAGGAACACCGGUGGCGAAGGCGGUUCUCUGGGCCUUACCUGACGCUGAGGAGCGAAAGCGUGGGGAGCGAACAGG
rnacentral:rRNA from 1 species